rnacentral:rRNA from 1 species
AUUGAACGCUGGCGGCAGGCCUAACACAUGCAAGUCGAGCGAGCGGCGGACGGGUGAGUAAUGUCUGGGAAACUGCCUGAUGGAGGGGGAUAACUACUGGAAACGGUAGCUAAUACCGCAUACCAUCAGAUGUGCCCAGAUGGGAUUAGAUAGUAGGUGGGGUAAUGGCGCACCUAGGCGACGAUCCCUAGCUGGUCUGAGAGGAGGACCAGCCACACUGGAACUGAGACACGGUCCAGACUCCGACGGGAGGCAGCAGUGGGGAAGAUUGCACAAUGGGCGCAAGCCUGAUGCAGCCAUGCCGCGUGUGUGAAGAAGGCCUUAGGGUUGUAAAGCACUGUCAGCGGGGAGGCGUUACCCGCAGAAGAAGCACCGGCUAACUCCGUGCCAGCAGCCGCGGUAAUUC